CGUAGUUUGAACUAAACCUUUGGACCAGCUUACGAACUUGUGUCGCGAGUGCAUGGCAACGGAUUAGAAGCGCAAGCUAGAAGACCGUUAACUCGUUGCGUAAUCUAGACAGGAUGAACCUGGCACAGUCGUUACAAUGGUUACACUAUUGGGAAUAAAGAUGAUAGGAUAUGAAGAUUAAUUAAAUUAAUUUACUUCGUUUGUUUGUUAGUUCCCGAGUAUCAAGCUUGGUCAUUCUAAUUGGACAUUCGAAAUUCCAUGGGCUAUUCUGUGAUUUUGAUUUGGAUGAUUCAGUCUUUCGUUUGGAUAAUUUUAAGUUAGUAUUCUGCUUAAAAUUAACCAUGCAGAGUCGUCGAUGUAUAAACAUUCUGGAUUAGAGUAUUUUUAAUAGGAAAGAAAGGAUUGUCUGUUAUUGUGCAAUUUUCUACGUUAUGCCCAUAUUAUACCCGUAAGGAUUUUGUAUUUUUAAAGAUGAAAUCAGAGUUUGUCGCACUUACCUCCAACCACAGAAUUACAGACGUCAAAAGUUCGAGUACGUCAUUAAUUUUAAUUGAACCUCAUUUUAUCAACGUAAUAUUAUAUACUCGACUAAUAAACGAAAUAUAUUAAUCGAAUUUCGGUAUACAUUUCUAUCUUGAACACUGUGCCAAGAGUCUCCUGCCUACACUGUGCAACUCGCCCAAAAUGCGUUCAUUGGUUCAACAACCAAUUUCACGAAUCACCGAAAGAGUCGUUGAAUCGAUACGAAUCUGCACCGAAUAAAUUGUCAGCCUCUUCGGUCAUCGACUCGUUGGAAAUUUCGUACGCUCGAUUACUGUUGCAUGAACCGAUUGAAAUUAUGGUAAAGGCGACGCUGCGAUGAAGGAGAAUUUCAGAAAAUUCCGCGAGGAUUAACACUUAAUCUGCGGAUCACAAAAUAUUCCCAUUCCUAUUCGAUAUGAUAAUCAAAAACUGAAAUAUUCCAAAGAGUGGUUUUUUUUUAACCAAUCACGGUGAAUACAUCAUUUCUAACUUUUUUUUACGUGGAAGAACACACCAUAGCACCAGGACCGAAAUCUACUGUCUGAGUAGGUUUGGUGUAGUUUUUGGAGGACAGGAGUAUUGAAUACGAUUAAUGUACAUACUGUCUGAGUAUGUUUGGUGUAGUAUUUAAUGGAGCAGCAAUAUUGAAUACCGUACAAUGUACAUACUGUCUCAGUAGGUUUGGUGUAGUUUUUGGAGGACAGGAGUAUUGAAUACGAUUAAUGUACAUACUGUCUGAGUAUGUUUGGUGUAGUAUUUAAUGGAGCGGCAAUAUUGAAUACCGUACAAUGUAUAUACUGUCUCAGUAGGUUUGGUGUAGUGUUUAGUACGACGGAAAUAUUGAAUAGCGUACAAUGUACAUACUGUCUGAGUAAGUUUGGUGUAGUUCUUGAAUGAGACGGAAGUAUUGAAUACCGUACAAUGUACAUACUGUCUCAGUAAGUUUGGUGUAGUUCUUGAAUGAGACGGAAGUAUUAAAUACCGUACAAUGUACAUACUGUCUGAGUAGGUUUGGUUCUAGUUUUCAUGGAGCGGGAGUAUUGAAUACUGUUAAUGUGAGAAACUGAUGUUCCUCCACGGAAAAACAAAGUUGGAAAUGAUGUAUUCAUCAAGCAAAAACACUUUUUCCUCCUCAUAUGAAAAUAAUAAUAAAAGUUACAUCCAAUGUUCCCUCCUUCGAUCGACUCUGAAUAAUAAUGCUUGAAUAAUUAAUUCCUUAAGAAUUUGAGAAAGGUGCGAGCUCAGGCACCCUGCAGAUUAAGUGUUGAAGAGGAUCCGUCCCGAACGUGAGGUCAAUUGGAUACGAACGAGGACAACGAGACCGUUUGUCGCGAUUCAACGUGGGAGAGGAUCGCGGGAUUAUUUGACGGAGUUCCGUGAAAUACAUGUACCAGAUUUGUAAAAUGUAACUGUAUUAAAAACGACGAUACGCCGGAAUUGAUCUCCACCGAUCUGGUGUACGAUAAUGCCUAGGAUUAAUGUAUAACCGUGCGACUAUGAGAUAAAUAUAUCUAAAAUGUCUCGUAACGUGCAAGUAGGAAAAGCUUAUAUUACGUCCUUAACCGUCUUAAUCGUAGUGCUUAUAGAUAAAACACUAAACGUCUUAAAUAUAUGCGUAUAAAUAAAACCAUGAAUUAAACAACGUCAAUGUAUCUCUUUCUCUCUCGCUCCCUCUUACAAUUUUCAGUACAAAAUUUAUUCGUUAUAGCACGGGCCUUAAAUAAUUACUAUAAAAUUAUCUAGUGCUACGCGUCGCGAGCAACGAUUUGCUGGAAAUCGAGAGAAACUUUUCUGCGUGCGAUGAAAUUUAAUUCGAACCAGAUAGCGAAUAAUACGACUGAACGUUACCGAUCUCGAGAAGUCACAGAACCAAAGGAACGCGUUCCUAACUCAAAGGAAGUUUAAAGUCGCGGUGGCUGAGCCGCGAGUUCAAUUGUCAAUUUUUCAAUGAUUCCCUUACUGCUUAAAAAUAACUCCGAAGACGCUCUGCACCAUGAUUCCGUCUUUGUGAUAAGCCUUAUAAAUAGAAAAAAAAUAUAUAUAUAUAUGAAUGAAAGAAUGGCUUAGACGCUACUUAGCUAACGUUUAAAAUGAUCGAAUAGUAAAAAUUUUAAUGUUACGAUAGAUUAAUGAUGGGUUCGUACAGCUAAAUUGGCGGCCUUAAUUAAUCUUAAUUUGUAAAAGGACGCUUGCUUACACGCCGUCACUUGCACGUAACUUAGUAUAAAUUCUUAAUCGAUAAUCAUCUUACGGGCUAUAGUCGUCGGCUGAACAAACUCAAAACUGCCCUCUUGGAAAAAAAAAGUCAAUUUUCUCGCCGAUUAACGAUUGGACGCGACGGGUUUCAGACAUAGGGAAGCAAGAGGAUGGCCAGUUUCGUAAAACGAUCGAGCUCGUUUCGAUUAUUUCACCCUGAAACAUCCCGUUUCUGUGUGUGUGUGUGUUUUUUUUUCUUUUCUUUCUUUCUCUAUCAUCCUCCAUCACAGCACCGCCAACCUCUCUCUUCUCUAAUCUCGUAAUUUAUAGGAACCUAGAGCGUUGGUCUGUGUCUUUGGCAGCCGGUUGGCUAUUUCUUUAGCGCCUGUAAGGAUGGUAAUUGGUAUGCUGAGUCAAGGAAAAUCGUUGGGGACCCGGGGCUGCGUCUCCAUUUGGAAUGAAGGUCGGGCUCCCAGUUUCGGUAUUUUUGAACUUUGGGAUCGGGAUCACGUCUGCGGGAAACAAAGGAAGGAA